UACAGAGGUCCCAAGCGUUGUUCGGAUUCACUGGGCGUAAAGGGUGCGUAGGUGGUCGGGUAAGUCUGAUGUGAAAUCUCUGAGCUUAACUCAGAAAUGGCAUUGGAUACUAUUCGGCUAGAGGGUUUGAGGGGGGACUGGAAUACUUGGUGUAGCAGUGAAAUGCGUAGAUAUCAAGUGGAACACCAGUGGCGAAGGCGAGUCCCUGGAAAACUCCUGACACUGAGGCACGAAAAGCUAGGGGAGCAAACAGG
rnacentral:rRNA from 1 species